CACCGUGUUGUGUUGUUGUCACCCGGUUGUGUCGUUGUGUUGUUGUCACCCCCACAUUGUGUUGUUGCCACUGCAUUGUGUUGUUGUCAGCCCCACAUUGUGUUGUUGUCACCCCCCGUUGCGUUGUUGUCCCCCCCACGUUGUGUUGUUGCCACAGCAUGGUGUUGUUGUCACCCAGUUUUGUUGUUGUGUUGUUGACACCUGGUUUUGUCGUUGUGUUGUUGUCACCCGGUUGUGUCAUUGUGUUGUUGCCACUGCGUUGUGUUGUUGUCACCCGGUUGUGUCGUUGUGUUGUUGUCACCUGGUUGUGUCAUUGUGUUGUUGUCACCCAGUGGUGUUGUUGUCACCUGGUUGUGUCGUUGUGUUGUUGCCACUGCGUUGUGUUGUUGACACCCGGUUUUGUCGUUGUGUUGUUGCCACCCGGAUGUGUCGUUGUGUUGUUGCCACCCGGUUGUGUGGUUGUGUUGUUGCGACCCCCCCGUUGCGUUGUUGUCCCCCCCAGGAGAAGGAGUCCCCCGACGGGAACAACGUCGCCUGCAUCCUGACGCUGCCGCCGUACCAACGCCGCGGAUACGGGAAGUUCCUCAUCGCCUUCAGUGGGUGAUGGGGGACAGCUGGGGGCCUGGGGGGACAUUUGGGGACAAUUUGGGGACAGUUGGGGACAAUUGGGGACAAUUUGGGGACAAUUGGGGGACAAUUGGGGACAUUUGGGGACAAUUUGGGGAGAAUUUUGGAUAAUUUGGGGAUAAUUUGGGAAUGUUUGGGAGAAUUUUGGACAAUUUGGGGACAACGUGGGACAAUUUGGGGACAUUGGAGGACAAUUUGGGGAGAAUUUGGGGAGAAUUUUGGACAAUUUGGGAACAAUUUGGGGACAAU
rnacentral:lncRNA from 1 species